rnacentral:rRNA from 1 species
GUGAGGAAUAUUGGUCAAUGGCCGUAAGGCUGAAUCAGCCAAGUAGCGUGCAGGAUGACGGCCCUAUGGGUUGUAAACUGCUUUUAAACGGGGAUAAAGUGAGCCACGUGUGGUUUAUUGCAGGUACCGUUUGAAUAAGGACCGGCUAAUUCCGUGCCAGCAGCCGCGGUAAUACGGAAGGUCCGGGCGUUAUCCGGAUUUAUUGGGUUUAAAGGGAGCGUAGGCGGAGCGUCAAGCCAGCAGUGAAAUGUAGCGGCCCAACCGCUGCACUGCUGUUGGAACUGGAGCCCUUGAGUGCACACGAGGCAUGCGGAAUUUGUGGUGUAGCGGUGAAAUGCUUAGAUAUCACGAAGAACUCCGAUUGCGAAGGCAGCGUGCCGGAGUGCAACUGACGCUGAAGCUCGAAAGUGCGGGUAUCGAACAGGAUUAGAAACCCUGGUAGUCC